rnacentral:tRNA from 1 species
UACAUUUUAGUAUAUGGUGUAUAAAAGUUUUUGAUAUUUUUGGGAAUAGUUUAAUUCUAUUAAAUGUAA